rnacentral:lncRNA from 1 species
CAACUCUUGACUAAUAAUAACGUUGGCACUAUAGUACGUUACGUUAGACAAUCUUGAGUUCUUAAAUCUUGUUCUGCCAAAGUAAUAUACUCACAUUUACAUCUAUUUAUCUUGUUGAAAACCUGUCAAAAUAUUCGUCCCCAUAGCUUCGACCAAACUACCUUUCAUUAACAGAACUUUAGCAUGGUAACAAUCAUCACCAAUGAUAUACAAAAACAACUUGCUGAAAUUUCACUUUUUGAUACUGAAGAGGGGAACAGAGAAGACAGAUUUUAUUGCUAUGACAUCAGUCGAUGCCAACCUUUGUUUUUUUAUGACACGUUUUGGUAUGCUAAAUAGGAUAUGAUUUGUUUGUUAUCUCAUGUAAUAUUGCCCGAUCUAUAUCAAACAUAACCGGAAGAUUGCAUAUUUGUAUACAUGAAUAUUGUGUUUGCACAUGUCUAGAUGCGCGCGCUUGUGAUUGUAUAUUUGCUUGUGUAUAUAUAUAUAUAUAUAAUUAUGGUGUAUUUGUUUAUAAUUCUUCCAUCUACUACUACUUGUGGACAGGUAAAGCAUGGAAUUUACAUUUGCUGAGCUGAUCAUAGCUUAUUCAAUAAAAAUUUCUUAAACCCAUUUUUAUAUCUUUAUUUUUUAUUCACGAGAUUCGUAUUCUGAAGCAGUUGGCCUGCAGAAGUCCAUGCAAACGUAUAAGCUUAUGCCAUCAAANN